rnacentral:lncRNA from 1 species
UUGGCUGAAGCAUCAUUAUUUGGUGCAUGACUGUAGAACUUUAAGCAAUGAUGAAAAUGCUCUAUAUCCACACUAUCCAAUAUGGUUCUGCUUGAAUUCUUGCCCUGGCUCUUGGUGAAGGAUCGGCCUGCUGGAUCUGAGUCAUCCACCUAUAAGAGGGACAACACCACACAUUGGUCGCUGCUCUCAAGCCCCUGGAAUACCACCCCACUUGGCUUCUCCUGGUGGUCAUUUGUUGAACUUCAGCUCCCUUCCAAUACCUUCCAUUCAUUCUCUUCAUCAAGGACAUCUGCAGUGCACGGCAGCAUCAGGGGGCAGGCCUCCUGAGCCCCCAGCAGGAUUCCAUUUCUCCACCUUCCACUGCCAUCCGACUUGCUGAUGCCCAGGCCCCCAGAGGAGGAAGGGCUAUCCUGUUGUUAUGAGAACAAAUGAAGCUAAGAAGUGGUUUGAGGUGGGAACAGCCAGGCCCUACAGACAGAGAGAGUGGUUAAUAAAUCUGUAUUGUACUGAAUUAAAUAGAGCAUCUUAAGCUACCUACUGGGGAUGGAACAAUGCAGAGACUCCUGUGUUUUUUAGUAGCAUUAGCAAAAGAGCUUAGCAUCGCUGCUAAUUAAAAUCACAUCCACGUUUGGCUUCGGAAUGCAUAAGGCAUCACAAUAACUCAGCACUGAAGGGGCUUAUAGUGGUUUUAAAAUAAAUCCACACAUUCUUUGCAGUGUGCUCCCUUCAAUGCAGCCUCAUUCCUCUCCUCUUGAAUGUAGGCUAUUCUGAGUGACUCACUUAUCAAUAGAAUGUAGUGAAAACGGUGGAAUAUGACUUUCAAAGAUAUGCUGUUGAAGACACUGCGCUUCUGUCUUGCUCUCUCUUUCGGAUCACGUGCUCUUCAGGGAGCCAGCUGCCAUGUCAUGCAGACACUCAAGCAGCCCUAUGGAGAAGCCACAUGGAGAGGGGCUGAGGCCUGUUUCCCACAGCCAUGUGAGUGGGCCAUUCCGGAAGCAGAUCAUCCAGCCCUCGCCAAGCUGACAGACGACUGCAUCCCCAGCCAACAUCUAGACUGGAGCCUCACGAGAGACCAACCCGGAGACCCCACCCAGCUAAGCCACUCCAGAAUCCCUGACCCCAAACAUUGUGACAUGAUAAAAAUGUGUUGUUUAAGC